ACGUAGACAAUAAUGCAAUAGUGUUACCAGGACGCCACCCAGGACACAAACCCUUUGGUGGAAAGCUGCUGCCAUCCCAUGUGACAAAGCAGCAUUGUGGCGUCUCUACAAGGAAUCGAUGAUAACACUUGAGGUACGUGUAGCUGGUAGUGUUAUUAACUUCCAGUUUCUAAGAUGAUGUUUCUGUAUGCAGUGCUGCUGCUUUGCACAUUUGUAGGUGCACUAUCGUUCUGACCCUAUGCAGCCAGGUUCCAUCUAGUUUUUAACUCUCGCAACUGCCAAAAUAAGAACAAGUUUGUGCUCUGGUAUUGUGCCUGGCGGACCAUGCAUGUGCUCCACUACAAUCUGGACUUUCACUUCCUGAUCACAGGUCACACCCCCGACUGGUGCUUCAGCCUCAUCAAGCAGCGCAUCAGAAAGACCAGAGUGAACACUUUGUCUGAGAUUUCUGGUUUUGUGAAAGACAGCACUGUGACAGGGGUCACCAUCCCACAGCUUGUUGGACUGGGAGAUGGUACGGUGCUGGUGGAAGGCUACGGCUGGUGACAACACCUGACUCCGUACUUCAGGCCGGUGCCACAGUUCAAGCAGUACCAGCACAUAAGCUUCGAUGCUCUGGAGCCUGGUGUUUUUGUCGCCAAGGAGUGUUCGUACUCAGUCGGGACCAGGUUUCAGCUGCUGCGCAGCGCUGACAUCAUUGCUCCCAUAGAUGGUCUGCCUGUAGAAGCACCACCUGGACUGGACACAGCUAGAUAAACGUAUGUUUUAGAGAAGAUCAGGGAGUUUUGCGACGUAGAGGCUAUGGACAUCACAUGCCCUGCACCAAAGUCAAGGGGAGGACAGAAACAGGCUCUCCAAAUAUAGGUUCCCUUGUUCAUGCAUGGCUUGGACGGACCAGUCAGCACUAUCUGCAGUGCCUCUAUUCAAAUGACUCUCUAACACACGUUGCUGCUACAUUUUUUUUAUCCUGCUGCUCAGCCGCUUUACCCCUGAUUGGAUGCAUAUAACUUCCUCAUCUACCACUGCUAUUGUUAUUGAUAUUGUUAUUGUACAUACUGUAUAUUAUUUUGUUUAUAUUGACACUAUCUAUUUCUGAUAUUGCUACUAUGCAAGUAACCAUUGGGCUGUACCAAUUACACCUUCUGUAGAGACCCAUCCACUUGGCUAGAUGUGGCUAGGGUUUUUAGCAUUUCUUUCACAUGACCGAUCAAUUUAGACAAGUGUGUCUGGGUAAGCGUCAUCUAAUAUUUAUUUAAAAAAUGUAUCUGGACACUUUCUGUUUCCCUGGAAUUUGUCCUUGUUGUAGGCUACUACUUUUACCACUUUUAGUCUUAAUCUUUGCUACACUACCCACUGUUUUAGCACAUGACCUCAUGUGAAUCCUUAAAGAGAUGGGUGGGGCUAGCUUUAAGAGGGUGUGAACAACGCUGAAUGGGUGUAGACAAAGGAGAGCUCUCCAGUACGUACCAAAACAUUCAAAGGCCAUUUUCUCAAAAGUGAGUUUACAAGUUGAUCAACUUUCAAAGCAGAACUACUUUCCCAUUGUUCCUCAAAAAAUGCAUUGUAUUGAUAUGCCAUUUUGUAACUUAUGUUAGUCUCUACUUUUAUCCAAUGUAAAAAUCACCAUUUCAAAUGUUGCUACAUAAGACUGAUUUGAGCCGGUCGGUUACAUUUGUGGAAUUUAUUUCUUUCUUUAAUGU